GAUUGUACCAUUUGAUGACGAUGGCUGCUAUACUGAGGAAAUCACGGACGGGUCUUUAAGUCAAGGAAGCAGACAGAGAUAUUAUAGAAGCAGUGAAGGUUAGAGAAAUACAAACUCUCUUUCUUUCAGCUCAUGAACUGAAUUUAAAUGUCCUAGUUGGAAUUUCAUAUUAUUGGUUCAAAUGUGUUUCCUUGCGAUUCAUUUUUCCCAUUUUGUCACUCAAUCCUUCUUGUGCGAUCUGGCAAAAUGCAGACUUGUUAAGUUUGGAACAUACACACAACUAUUACGUAGCUCUGGAAACAGCUUGUAUGUUUACUUCUUGUACUCUCUGUUGGAAAUAAGACAAAUCUCAACAGUGUCCCCUGUAAAGCUGUGCCUUCCUUUGGUGGCAUUAGUUUAGUUUACUCCUUCCAUUGUGUCCCAGAACUAGAGUUGAUUUAGAAAGUCAUAAAUCUUUUACAUCUACUUUGUAGCAAUGGAUGAUGGAUUUAUUGAUAUUAAAUUCUCAUUUGUAUCCUAGCUACCUACCUAAAUUAGAUAUGUGAAAUUUAUA
rnacentral:misc_RNA from 1 species